rnacentral:rRNA from 1 species
AGUGAACGCUGGCGGUAGGCCUAACACAUGCAAGUCGAACGGCAGCACAGUAAGAGCUUGCUCUUACGGGUGGCGAGUGGCGGACGGGUGAGGAAUACAUCGGAAUCUACUUUUUCGUGGGGGAUAACGUAGGGAAACUUACGCUAAUACCGCAUACGACCUACGGGUGAAAGCAGGGGAUCUUCGGACCUUGCGCGAUUGAAUGAGCCGAUGUCGGAUUAGCUAGUUGGCGGGGUAAAGGCCCACCAAGGCGACGAUCCGUAGCUGGUCUGAGAGGAUGAUCAGCCACACUGGAAAUGAGACACGGUCCAGACUCCUACGGGAGGCAGCAGUGGGAAAUAUUGGACAAUGGGCGCAAGCCUGAUCCAGCCAUACCGCGUGGGUGAAGAAGGCCUUCGGGUUGUAAAGCCCUUUUGUUGGGAAAGAAAAGCAGCAGGUUAAUACCCCGCUGUUCUGACGGUACCCAAAGAAUAAGCACCGGCUAACUUCGU